CAAAAUGCAGCUAAAAAGACUCGCCGUACGCCGGUUGUCGAUAAGCAAGCGCAUCAUGAUAAGAAGUUGCAAAAAAGAAAGCUAAUAAUUACAACAGACAGUGACUUGGACACACCCGGGAAAAACAUGGAUAAUAUACAAAAAGCUAAAAAGACUCGCUGUACGCCGGUUGUCGAUAAGCAAGCGCAUCAGGAUAAGAAGUUGCAAAAAAGAA